rnacentral:rRNA from 1 species
AGCGCAGACGGUCUAUUAAGUCUGAUGUGAAAGCCCGGAGCUCAACUCCGGAAUGGCAUUGGAAACUGGUUAACUUGAGUGCAGUAGAGGUAAGUGGAACUCCAUGUGUAGCGGUGGAAUGCGUAGAUAUAUGGAAGAACACCAGUGGCGAAGGCGGCUUACUGGACUGCAACUGACGUUGAGGCUCGAAAGUGUGGUAGCAAACA